AAUGAACGCUGGCGGCGUGCUUAACACAUGCAAGUCGAGCGAGGCGGAAGGGGGCAACUCCUUCCAGUCGAGCGGCGGACGGGUGAGUAACACGUGGGUAACCUGCCCGGAAGUGGGGAAUACCUCGGGGAAACUCGAGCUAAUACCGCAUGACAUCUUCGGGACGAAAGUCCUGACGAUCAAAGCGGGGUCGCAAGAUCUCGCGCUACCGGAUGGGCCCGCGCCCGAUUAGCUAGUUGGNGAGGUAACGGCUCACCAAGGCUUCGAUCGGUAACCGGCCUGAGAGGGCGAUCGGUCACACCGGAACUGAGACACGGUCCGGACUCCUACGGGAGGCAGCAGUAAGGAAUAUUGCGCAAUGGGCGAAAGCCUGACGCAGCGACGCCGCGUGGGGAUGAAGGUCUUCGGAUUGUAAACCCCUUUCGGGAGGGAAGAUGGAAUGGGGUAACCCCGAUUCGGACCGGUACCUCCAGAAGCAGCCACGGCUAACUUCGUGCCAGCAGCCGCUGU
rnacentral:rRNA from 1 species